rnacentral:lncRNA from 1 species
GGAGCUUGGGAUCUGUCUCCUCUUUCGCCUCCUGCACCUUGAGAGCCCUGGGCUACUCUGUCACAGCCCCUGUUGCCCUGCGAUCUGUAGGUCCUUGGGGACGCAUAGUUAAGGUGCCAGGACAUCCUGGAAGCUGGGAAAUGUUAGCAUUUCAUCAUAUCAAUGUGAAGAUUUCUUCCAGACCAUGGCUGGAGAAGGAAAGAAGGUGUGUUUUGCCUGAUUCAGGGACUAUAGAGAGAACCAAGUUCUGCAGGCCUGUCAUCUAAGUCUCAGCUGGGUGUCACAAACUCUGAACUGGAUUCCAAGGCUUUCAUGAAUGCACUUAUGUUUGCUGUGGCAGCUGCAUUAUGUCGUGGGGGAUGUGGAUGCAGAACCUCCCAUUCUGUCGUCUUGCUUAUGUUACUCUCCUUUAUGUUUCACUUUCUCAAAUGAAUGUCAAGCAGGUGAUUUUCAGAUUCAAAAGUUCUAAAAUAAAUUGCUCAAAUUUACACAUUAUGUAAGCUGUUAAUAAAAUUUCUUGUAGGUGCUACAUAUUUAUUAAAAUUUUUGGUUGUAAUUUUAAGCUCACUGUAGGCAGAAAGGAAUCAUUAAGAUUUCUAUUCUUUUUUAGUCUGUAUCUAAAUGACCAUAUAUUUUAAUUCCAAAUAUUUACUUUAUACUUCAGUAAUGCUCAUUGUAUUUUGCAAAAUUUAUAUUGUUCUUUUAUUUGAAAAUAUAAGGCUUUUUUUAGCUCCUGAAAUCUAUAUUAUAGUCAUAUAGUUUUAUUAUAGUAUUUGAUAAGAAGAGCAGCAACAUAUUGAGAACAGAAUAAAAUUCUGCUGUCUUUUUAAUGAUUAUUUAUUAAAUUCUUCUCAUUAAAGCCUAUUAUUAAUGAUUGUAAUGUAUUUACUGUAUAAUUUUACUGCAAUUUAUUAAAUGCCAAUGACUUCUAA